rnacentral:misc_RNA from 1 species
GUCCAGUUCAGCUGCUCCACUAACCAGUGCUAACGCGCGUAAGACGGUCGGUCUGAGAUUAGCGAGAAUGCAAGAGCCAGGAGGCAAUCACUAAUCACAUCACAAAAUUUCUCAUUUCCAUUUGUUUAUCACCCAACAAUAAUAAGCAAUUCUCGUGGCAUAAACCACCAGAGGACGGAUUACACAUACAAAAUUUGCAGAUACAUCUCUGUAUGUGUACGAACAAGAAGUGGAGGAAUCGGACAGCGUGUAUAAAGGAGUAAUUAAUAAGAGAAUGCCCCUAACAAUUAGUUAGGGCCCCAGCAGACGAGGUGGUACGCCUUGUGCAUCUUCUCCUCCUCCGAUCGCCUGGGCCUGGCGGCCCUACCGGCGGCCGCGGCGCUGCCACUGCCACCCGCGGUUUGGGACGACGACAACGACAACGGGACGGCGCGGCCGGCGACGACCUUAUUGGCGGCGGCCGCGCGGUUGUAGAGGGAGCGGAGCGCGUAGUCCCACCGGCACAGCCCCGCCUGGUCCUUGAGCGCCUCCACCGCGCUCAUGCUCGCCGCCACCACGAACGACGACGCCUUCUUGGUCAUGGACGACGAUGCGCUCAUCUUCUCUGCUAGCUCAGAGCUUGAUGAUAAUCGGCUAUCCCUCUCGCGCGCGCACCGGCUAGGCUAUAAACACUUUCUUGCUUCUGGAUCUUGGUCUGUUUGCGUUGACGCUUUGCACUGCGGAGAUGACGAGGGAAGGGGAGGGGACUUAUAUAUGCCCGGCAGCAGGCCGGUAGCCGAUGCAGUUGGCGGCAGCGUGGAAGGAGUGGACGGACGCGGCGGGAGAGGAAAACAGGGGGCUCUGGUUGCUGGUUUC